CCCUUCGGGGAGCUUGCACAGGUGCUGCAUGGCUGUCGUCAGCUCGUGUCGUGAGAUGUUCGGUUAAGUCCGCUAACGAGCGCAACCCUCGUCGUGUGUUACAAGUGUCACGCGAGACCGCCGACGUCAAGUCGGAGGAAGGUGGGGAUGAUGUCAAGUCAGCAUGGCCUUUAUAUCCAGGGCUACACACACGCUACAAUGGUCAACACAAUAGGUCGCGAAACCGCGAGGUGGAGCCAAUCCUCAAAGUUGGCCUCAGUUCAGAUUGUAGGCUGCAACUCGCCUGCAUGAAGAUGGAGUUGCUAGUAACCGCAGGUCAGCACUACUGCGGUGAAUACGUUCCCGGGGUUU
rnacentral:rRNA from 1 species